AGCCUGCCCACUGAUUAUAAUUGAAGGGCCGCGGUAUUUUGACCGUGCGAAGGUAGCAUAAUCAUUAGUCUUUUAAUUGAGGGCUUGUAUGAAUGGUUGGACAAAAAAUAAGCUGUCUCAAUUAUAAAAGUUGAAUUUAACUUUUAAGUGAAAAGGCUUAAAUAAUUUAGGGGGACGAUAAGACCCUAUAAAGCUUUACAAUUAUUUAAUUAAAUUAUAAAUUGUUAGUAUAAACUUAAUUUAAUUGAUGUUUGUUUCGUUGGGGCGACGAGAAUAUAAUUUAGUAACUGUUCUUUUAUAGUUUGCUACAAUAAUUUUUGGUAAAAAAUUGAUCCUUUAUUAAAGAUUAAAAGAUUAAGUUACUUUAGGGAUAACAGCGUAAUCUUCCUUGAAAGUUCAUAUCGACAGGAAGGGUUGCGACCUCGAUGUUGAAUUAAGAGUUCUUUAUGGCCAGCAGUUAUAAUG
rnacentral:rRNA from 2 species